AAGUCGUAACAAGGUUUCCGUAGGUGAACCUGCGGAAGGAUCAUUACAAAUCCACGCGUCUCUCUCUCUGAGACACCACGUUGAACUGUUUCUAGCGAUACCUACCUAUCCAUCUAUCUAUCUAUCCAUCUCUAUCACCCAUCAUCUAUCAUCUAUCUCUCACAUCACACACAUAUCCUUGGCAACAUCGAUAUUGUUGUUGUUUGUGUUUGAUGAUGCAUGGAUGGAUGGAUGGUGUGCGAUGUGAAAGGUCGGUCGGUCGGUCGGUCGGUCGCUAGUGUUACAACACGAGUUAUCAUUUGUUGAACGAUUGUAUGCAUGCAUGACAAACCCUGUCAUGAAACCAUGUACAACUUAUAACAAUGGAUCUCUAGGCUCUU
rnacentral:misc_RNA from 1 species